rnacentral:rRNA from 1 species
GAUGAACGCUGGCGGCGUGCCUAAUACAUGCAAGUCGAGCGAACAGAUGAGGAGCUUGCUCCUCUGACGUUAGCGGCGGACGGGUGAGUAACACGUGGAUAACCUACCUAUAAGACUGGGAUAACUUCGGGAAACCGGAGCUAAUACCGGAUAAUAUAUUGAACCGCAUGGUUCAAUAGUGAAAGACGGUUUUGCUGUCACUUAUAGAUGGAUCCGCGCCGUAUUAGCUAGUUGGUAAGGUAACGGCUUACCAAGGCAACGAUGCGUAGCCGACCUGAGAGGGUGAUCGGCCGCACUGGAACUGAGACACGGUCCAGACUCCUACGGGAGGCAGCAGUAGGGAAUCUUCCGCAAUGGGCGAAAGCCUGACGGAGCAACGCCGCGUGAGUGAUGAAGGUCUUCGGAUCGUAAAACUCUGUUAUUAGGGAAGAACAAAUGUGUAAGUAACUAUGCACGUCUUGACGGUACCUAAUCAGAAAGCCACGGCUAACUACGUG